UAAAGAAUUUAAUAAAAAAUGUGCAAAACCAAGAGAUGAAGAUUGCAAUAUCCCGAAGUUCAGCUACGCGAUGCAAUAUCACAAACAAAGCUAAAUAAACAAGGGUGCUUUCGCUACAUAACUUUGUCGGCCGACAACGGUGAAUUGAGAGCUGGUGGAAAUGGAUGGAAACGACAACAAACCCAUGGUCGGAAACGGUGAGGCGAUGGCCAAAUCCCCCGAUUGAAGUGCAGUCGAAGCGCCAACGGUGACGUCAGCCGAAGUGUGGCCGGAGAUGGUGAAGUUCGGGUUCCAACUUGGGAGAUUUGAUUUGGGGGCUUAGGGUUCGAUUUGAGAGAAAAUG
rnacentral:lncRNA from 1 species